AGUGAACGCUGGCGGUAGGCCUAACACAUGCAAGUCGAACGGCAGCACAGUAAGAGCUUGCUCUUACGGGUGGCGAGUGGCGGACGGGUGAGGAAUACAUCGGAAUCUACUUUUUCGUGGGGGGGAACGUAGGGAAACUUACGCUAAUACCGCAUACGACCUACGGGUGAAAGCAGGGGAUCUUCGGACCUUGCGCGAUUGAAUGAGCCGAUGUCGGAUUAGCUAGUUGGCGGGGUAAAGGCCCACCAAGGCGACGAUCCGUAGCUGGUCUGAGAGGAUGAUCAGCCACGCUGGAACUGAGACACGGUCCCGACUCCUACGGGAGGCAGCAGUGGGGAAUAUUGGACAAUGGGCGCAAGCCUGAUCCAGCCAUACCGCGUGGGUGAAGAAGGCCUUCGGGUUGUAAAGCCCUUUUGUUGGGAAAGAAAAGCAGCAGGUUAAUACCCCGCUGUUCUGACGGUACCCAAAGAAUAAGCACCGGCUAACUUCGUG
rnacentral:rRNA from 1 species